GAUAAGCUGCGAUAAGCUUCGGGGAGUUGCACGUAAACUUUGAUCCGAAGAUUUCCGAAUGAGGAAACUCACUUAGAGUAAUGUCUAAGUAUCAUUAAGUGAAUACAUAGCUUAAUGAGGGGAACUCAGGGAACUGAAACAUCUAAGUACCUGAAGGAAGAGAAAGAAAUUCGAUUCCGUAAGUAGCGGCGAGCGAACGCGGAAUAGCCCAAACCAAUAAAGUUUUCUUUAUUGGGGUUGCGGACAUAUCUUAAACGAAGAGGUAUCGUAAUUGAAGAGGUUUGGAAAGACCCACCACAGAAGGUAAUAGUCCUGUAUGUCAAACGAGAAAACUUCAGAUAUGAUCCAGAGUACCACGGGACACGUGAAACCCUGUGGGAAGCAGGAGGGACCACCCUCCAAGGCUAAAUACUACCUAGUGACCGAUAGCGUAUAGUACCGUGAGGGAAAGGUGAAAAGAACCCCGGGAGGGGAGUGAAAUAGAACCUGAAACCCUGCACUUACAAGCUGUGGAAGCACAUUUCUUGUGUGACCGCGUACUUUUUGUAGAACGGGCCAACGAGUUACGUUAAGUAGCAAGGUUAAGCACUUAAGGUGUGGAGCCGUAGCGAAAGCGAGUUUUAACUGAGCGUUCAGUUACUUGACGUAGACCCGAAACCGGGCGACCUACCCAUGAGCAGGAUGAAGCGAAAGUAAAAUUUCGUGGAGGUCCGAACCCACGAGCGUUGAAAAGCUCGGGGAUGACUUGUGGGUAGCGGUGAAAUUCCAAUCGAGCCCGGAGAUAGCUGGUUCUCCCCGAAAUAGCUUUAGGGCUAGCCUCAAGGUGAGAGAUACGGAGGUAGAGCACUGAAUGUCCUAGGGGGUAUUGCACCUACCGAAGACUAUCAAACUCCGAAUGCCGUCAUCUUAUACUUGGGAGUCAGACUGUGGGUGAUAAGAUUCAUAGUCGAAAGGGCAACAGCCCAGAUCGUCAGCUAAGGUCCCUAAAUGUAAGUUAAGUGGUAAAGGAUGUGGGAUUGCACAGACAACCAGGAUGUUGGCUUAGAAGCAGCCACUCAUUCAAAGAGUGCGUAAUAGCUCACUGGUCGAGUGAUCCUGCGCCGAAGAUUUCCGGGGCUAAAACUUACUACCGAAGCUACGGCAUCAGUAAUGAUGGGUAGGGGAGCUUCCCAUACGGGUUGAAGCAUGACCGUAAGGACAUGUGGACAGUAUGGGAGUGAGAAUGUUGGCAUGAGUAGCGAGAUGUGGGUGAGAAUCCCACAGGCCGUAAACCCAAGGUUUCCAGGGGAAGGUUCGUCCGCCCUGGGUUAGUCGGGACCUAAGCUGAGGCCGAAAGGCGUAGGUGAUGGACAACAGGUUGAUAUUCCUGUACUACCGAUAACCGUUUGAGAGAUGGGAUGACACAGUAGGAUAAGCUAAGCACACUGUUGGUUAUGUGUGCCCAAGCAUUGAGGCAGUCAGAGUAGGUAAAUCCGCUUUGAUAAUGCUGGGAUGUGAUGGGGAGCGAAAUUUAGUAGCGAAGUAGCUGAUUUCACACUGUCAAGAAAAGUCUCUAUCGAGGUUAAAGGUACCCGUACCGCAAACCGACACAGGUGGGUGAGGAGAGUAUCCUAAGGCCCGCGAGAGAACUGUUGUUAAGGAACUCGGCAAAAUGACCCCGUAACUUAGGGAUAAGGGGUGCCACCAUACGGUGGCCGCAGAGAAUAGGCCCAAGCGACUGUUUACCAAAAACAUAGGUUUCUGCUAAGUCGCAAGACGAUGUAUAGGAGCUGACGCCUGCCCGGUGCUGGAAGGUUAAGGGGAUCUGUUAGAG
rnacentral:rRNA from 1 species